AUCCCAUCGGAAGGCGGACCUUGCUUCCCCGGUUUUCAUGGCUCAAUGGAGCGGGUGUAGAAAUGGUAGGGAUCACCGAGGAUUUCUCGAUUUCUUGGCUCCGCCUUUCCCUUUCUUCCCAUGAGAAAAAAAACAUGAAAAGGGGCUUUACAGUUCUAGGCUGCGAUGCCUCCCUCGUUUCCUCCUCCGCCCAAACAUUGUCUCAAUUCAGACACCUUGGGGCGAUCCCUUCUCACGACUCUGGUCGUGCUCGUCAGGCUCCCCGUGUGUUUACGUCGUCCAGAGCACGUGACCCCGUGAGUAGCCGCUGUCCCGUGUUGUGUGCGAGGCGAAGGAAGCCCCUCCCUCCUUAUGUAACUGUCUCUCGCCCGCGGGCGGCGCUGUGAAUGGGAGAGCUGCACUUGGGCCCUCAUUGGUCCGUCUCCGGCCGGAGCUUCCGUGCCAUUGGUCGGUUACCUGGUGUGGGCGUGGCUCCAAGCCCAUUCACGGCUUCGCCACCGCCUCCCCCUUACUCCUGCGCCGACACGUGUGCGGCCCGGAGGGAAACGCCAAAGAAGGCGUUGGCCGGUCGUGCUUGUUGACCUCAAGGCAGGAAGGGGGGGCGACGAAGACGGGGGGGUGUAAAAGGGAGAGAACUUGGCCCGGCCCGGUUGCUCCGGAGGGGUUGGAGGCACGGGGAGCCGGGCGAGGGCAGGACGAGCGGAAAUGUUUUCCUCUCCCGGGCUCGAGUGGGGCACGGGUGGGGAAAGGCCCCUUCAGGAAAUUAACAAGGCUGCGCAUCUGGGACCGCAGGGGUCCAUCGUGAGUCACUGACGGUCAUGCACUGGAGGGGAAGCGUUGGCAUGGAGACUCCAAGCCGCCCAUUUAAAAGCCUAGAAAGGUGAUUCUGCUGGAAACGGCCGCCGCUGUCCGAAAGGUUUUUGUUCCCUGGUCGCAGGAUCCUUCCAUGUUCAAAGAUGUGGUGGCACCACUGCUUCCUUUUGCCAUUGAGACGAGCUGCAGCAAAGGUUCUGAAUGAGUGGUGGAAUAAAUCACCCGUGUCACUUGCGAUUCAUACAAGGCCUCCGUGCUCCCGCCCGCCCGCAUGGCUGUUCUUUCAUAACUCGGCGCUCGCCUUUGAGAAUGGACUGAGCGGGAGGUGGCUAAGGGCUGCUUUCGCCUCUGAUUUGGGCCGGGCCAGUGAAGAGUGCGCUCAUGCGCAAAUCCACGCUGCAUGAGAGCAGAAGAAGAGCAGGCAAUGGCGACAAGCCGCCGAGCCUGUUCGGUGCUCAAGGAAAGCUGCUUCUUUGCCCAUCGUGGGAUUCUAAGACUUGAACUGAACUAGUACCCAGCAAGAGUAGAUCCUUUUGAGGCAGCUGUAGAAUUUAUGUAGGUGGUGAAUCACCAUUCAGUGCUGAGGGACAUGGAAGAAGCCUCCCUGAAGAAUGUGAACAGUCGGGGAUCACCAGAGCAACAGCUACACCCUGUCAGGCGAUCCUUCCCCUCCCAAAGCACCCUUGAGUUGCUCGUGACGUAACUAAUGAACCAGCCAUCCAGUAAUGGAGCCAGUGGCUUGCCUGUCAUUGGGACUGACAAUCAGAUUUAGGUUUAAAUGAGAAACAAUCCAUGUGGGAGGCACCACAACAUCUUCUUUCAAGGGCUAGUGAGCAUGCUCUGUCCUCAUUUUAAAACCCAAACCUUCUCAAAGGUUUGGGUUUUAAAGAAUGAAGUUAAUGGGUUUGGGAUUCCAAGCAGAUACAGUACAUUGGAAGUCUAUUCACCUUUGUUCUCUGAAUCAUGGAUCCUGGCAGUGGUAGUCAAAAAAAAAAGCAAUUUCCCAAGCUCCCAGACUGUAGUUUGGCUAGAACUGCCCUAAUGUACAGAUAUGCUGGGAGGAGCUUUCUUAUGCAGCAUAUGGGGAGUCAGUGUUCCUGGCAUCCUGCUGGGGUGUGCAAUAAAAGCAGAAGGUGCCUGGAUCUGUCCCCUCCCACUCCCAGGGCUUGGCUAAGGGUGAGACUCCUUGUUAAACAUGGAGCAGUUAAGCCACUGACUCACCACAGACAUGGCCCUGUUCAAACAGACUGGAACGAAACCAUGUCAGUUGGGUUUGCCAUAGAUCCAUCCUGCUCGCGCUGCAUACCUGGUGUCAUGGGACACGGUGGGUUUGAGAAUGUCACUGUGCACAGGAAUCAGGUGUGACUUCUGCUUCUGUUGUUGUGUGUACACAUCUCUUUUUUAAAAAAGACAUUUCCAAACAGUGCUGUCGCUGAAGGAAGAGCUGAGGCUUGUGUGAAAAAGCAGGAAUUGUAAGUGUGAUACAACACUCAGGAAGACUUGCUGGGUCAAAAGCCCGGGGAAGGCAUCCGGUGGAGCGUCCCUUAGUUGCUUCCUGGAAACUUACCAGUAGGUCACAAAGCCCAAGAGCCUCCCUCAGGUGAUUACUUGCAGCAGCUAAUACAUAUUUGAAGGUAGACUGCCUCUACCCAUGGGACCUCCCUUUGCUCUGCAAGGUCAGGAGCUGGUGAUAAAGACCUCUCCCCAAAUCUUGUUCUGCCACUUCCGGGAUCUUCCAGGCAGUGUGGGAGUGAUAGUGCUGUACAUGGGGAGGGCCCUGGAGUUGAGAACCCUACAUUACAGGGUAAACAGGAUAAACUGAAGUCUGGUUGUCACCUAGUCCUCCCUCAUGAAGCAAAAUCAUCAACCUUUGCUUCUAAUUGACACACUUUAUUUAUUUUGCACUGUUUCCUUGGCUAAGCCAAUUAACAACGCCUUAAUAAGGAAACCAGAAUAAUCCCCAUGUCUGUUUUUCUAGGUCGCCAUCCCUGUGGCUUUUACGCCAAGCAGGUUCGGAAAACAAAAAUGAUAUUGAAAAGGUGUGUCACUCUGGGAAGGCCAGGCUUUCUUACAAAAUGCAUAAUUAUUUUACAGCAUUUAUCACUGGAAAGUGGGGCAGUGCCUUUUUUUGAAAGUGAGAUUAGAUCUAGUCAUGGAGGAGACGGGAAAAGGCAUAUCAGUGGAUGAUGACCCAGUAAAAUCUUCCUCAACAGGAGGAGGUUCUAUCUUAGCAGUUGGAGAUCCACCACAGCUGGUAGGGGUGGUGAUAGUCUAGGAGUUAAAAGUAGAAACAACCAAGAAACAUACACUUUUUUUUUUAUUAGUUCUGUCCUUGAACCACUUUCAGUCAUAAAAUGGGCUCUGCUGUCUGGAGUGGUUGAUGACUCCCCUGCCAAUCCUCUGGCCUCUCCAUAACCUUUGCUUUCUCCCAGAAGACAUGUUGGCUUCCCCCGCAGACUGCUUCCUCCCCCCCUGCCGCUUUCCUCACACACCCCUCUGCAACUCAAACACACUGAAAAUGCAUUUAUAAAGCACUAAACAUUGUAUGGCCGAAGGAUCCCACCAGAGAGAAAAAAAAUGGGGAUCAACCCAUAAUAUCUAUAUGAGGCCCCUGGGGGAGGCCACUAGGAGUUUAGGAGCUUCGGGUGUUAUCCAAUAUGUGGAUGACGCCCAGCUCAUCUCUCCUUCCAUCCCUCUGCAGAGGAUGCCAUUCUGUCCCUUGAGCACUGCUUGGGCGCUGUGCUGGGUUGGAUGAGGGAUAACAGACUCAGGUUGAACCCAGAACAAGACUGAGAUCCUGUGGGUGGGUGCCUCCCUCUCCUUUGGGAGGGCACGUUCUCCAUUAAAGAUGAGGUUUGCAGCCUAGAUGUACUUCUGGACGCAGCACCAUCCAUGGAGUCCCACAUAGCAUCUGGGGUCCGCUCAACCUAUUUCCAUCUAGGGCAGAAUGCCCAGCUGCGUCCCUGCCUUGACCCUCACCACACUGGCCCCUGCACUGAGUUUAGAUUGCUGUCAUGAGGCUGCCUAUGAAGUUGCUACAGAAACUUUGGCAGGUCCAGAAUAUGGCGGCCAGACUACUGAACGUUGU